CCUACGGGAGGCAGCAGUGGGGAAUAUUGCACAAUGGGCGCAAGCCUGAUGCAGCCAUGCCGCGUGUGUGAAGAAGGCCUUCGGGUUGUAAAGCACUUUCAGCGGGGAGGAAGGCGGUGAGGUUAAUAACCUCAUCGAUUGACGUUACCCGCAGAAGAAGCACCGGCUAACUCCGUGCCAGCAGCCGCGGUAAUACGGAGGGUGCAAGCGUUAAUCGGAAUUACUGGGCGUAAAGCGCACGCAGGCGGUCUGUCAAGUCGGAUGUGAAAUCCCCGGGCUCAACCUGGGAACUGCAUUCGAAACUGGCAGGCUAGAGUCUUGUAGAGGGGGGUAGAAUUCCAGGUGUAGCGGUGAAAUGCGUAGAGAUCUGGAGGAAUACCGGUGGCGAAGGCGGCCCCCUGGACAAAGACUGACCCUCAGGUGCGAAAGCGUGGGGAGCAAACAGGAUUAGAUACCCCAGUAGUC
rnacentral:rRNA from 1 species